GCGAACGCUGGCGGCAGGCUUAACACAUGCAAGUCGAGCGGGCAUCCUUGUGGUGUCAGCGGCAGACGGGUGAGUAACGCGUGGGAACGUGCCCUUCGGUUCGGAAUAACUCAGGGAAACUUGAGCUAAUACCGGAUACGUGCGAGAGCAGAAAGGUUUAUCUGCCGAAGGAUCGGCCCGCGUCUGAUUAGCUAGUUGGUGAGGUUAUGGCUCACCAAGGCGACGAUCAGUAGCUGGUCUGAGAGGAUGAUCAGCCACACUGGGACUGAGACACGGCCCAGACUCCUACGAGAGGCAGCAGUGGGGAAUAUUGGACAAUGGGGGCAACCCUGAUCCAGCCAUGCCGCGUGAGUGAUGACGGCCUUAGGGUUGUAAAGCUCUUUUCUCCGGGACGAUAAUGACGGUACCGGAGGAAUAAGCCCCGGCUAACUUCGUG
rnacentral:rRNA from 1 species